GUGGAAUCAGAGAAGCAUUGUGGACAUGCUUUAGCUCCCCUGACCACCUGUUUCUUCAUGGAGAAAAUAGUAAGACAUAUGCACACAGAUCUGCACCCGGAGUGUGCGGCGUCCAUACUAAGCAGGAAGGAGCCUAACAACUGAGGGCUGUGAAGCGUUCAGGUGACAACUGGAAAGUCAGGACGG
rnacentral:lncRNA from 1 species